GACGAACGCUGGCGGCGUGCUUAACACAUGCAAGUCGAACGGAAAGGCCCUGCUUUUGUGGGGUGCUCGAGUGGCGAACGGGUGAGUAACACGUGAGUAACCUGCCCUUGACUUUGGGAUAACUUCAGGAAACUGGGGCUAAUACCGGGUAGGAGCUCCUGCUGCAUGGUGGGGGUUGGAAAGUGUCGGCGGUUGUGGAUGGACUCGCGGCUUAUGAGCUUGUUGGGGGGGUAGUGGCUUACCAGGGCUUUGACGGGUAGCCGGCCUGGGAGGGUGAACGGCCACAUUGGGACUGAGAGACGGACCAGACGCGUACGUGAGGCAGUAGGGGGGAACAUGGCACAAUGGGGGGAAGUCUGAUGCAGCAAUGUCGGGUGCGGGAUGAUGGGCUUCGGGGUGUAAACCGCUUUCGCCUGUGACGUAGCGGGAGUGACGGUAAUGGGUAAAGAAGCAACGGCUAACUACGUG
rnacentral:rRNA from 1 species